rnacentral:rRNA from 1 species
GGAAACGCGGGGCCGUGUGCCGGGGUAAACCGUGGGGUGGAAGCGUUAAUCUGAAUGCAUGGGCGUAAAUGUGACGCAGGCGGUUUGAUAAGUUAGGUGUGGAAGCCCCGGGCUCAACCUGGGAAUUGCAUUUAAAACUGUCCAGCUAGGGUCUUGUAGAGGGGGGUAGAAUUCCAGGUGUAGCGGUGAAAUGCGUAGAGAUCUGGAGGAAUACCGGUGGCGAAGGCGGCCCCCUGGACAAAGACUGACGCUCAGGUGCGAAAGCGUGGGGAGCAAACAGGAUUAGAUACCCUUGUAGUC